rnacentral:rRNA from 1 species
UGGGGAAUAUUGGACAAUGGGCGCAAGCCUGAUCCAGCCAUGCCGCGUGAGUGAUGAAGGCCCUAGGGUUGUAAAGCUCUUUCACCGGUGAAGAUAAUGACGGUAACCGGAGAAGAAGCCCCGGCUAACUUCGUGCCAGCAGCCGCGGUAAUACGAAGGGGGCUAGCGUUGUUCGGAUUUACUGGGCGUAAAGCGCACGUAGGCGGACUAUUAAGUCAGGGGUGAAAUCCCGGGGCUCAACCCCGGAACUGCCUUUGAUACUGGUAGUCUUGAGUUCGAGAGAGGUGAGUGGAAUUCCGAGUGUAGAGGUGAAAUUCGUAGAUAUUCGGAGGAACACCAGUGGCGAAGGCGGCUCACUGGCUCGAUACUGACGCUGAUGUGCGAAAGCGUGGGGAGCAAACAGG